AGUAUUCUUAUUCAGCAGUUAAACGGGAAGUUUGGUAAGUCACUGCUACGCAUACGAAUCCAACGCUGCCCCCGCAACGGUGAUCGGCUUAACUUAUUGUUUUAUGCCACUGUGGUGCUCUCUUUUUAAUAUUUACUUUAAAUAUCAACAAGAUCGAGCCUAUGGGAAGGUGCAAUAAGCGGAACAACAGUUCCAAGCCGUCAGCCCGGAUACCGGCCUAUUUGCU
rnacentral:ncRNA from 1 species